rfam:Hypholoma sublateritium FD-334 SS-4 unplaced genomic scaffold scaffold_151, whole genome shotgun sequence.
GCCCGCCUAGCUCAAUCGGAUAGAGCGUCAGACUCUUACAUAGGCGGUGUACCAUCAUUCCAAUCAGGAAUCUGAAGGCUGCGAGUUCGACCCUCGCGGUGGGCU